rnacentral:rRNA from 1 species
UACAGAGGUCUCAAGCGUUGUUCGGAUUCAUUGGGCGUAAAGGGUGUGUAGGUGGCGCGCUAAGUCGGGUGUGAAAUUUCGGAGCUUAACUCCGAAACUGCAUUCGAUACUGGCGUGCUUGAGGACUGGAGAGGAGACUGGAAUUCCUGGUGUAGCGGUGAAAUGCGCAGAUAUCAGGAGGAACACCGGUGGCGAAGGCGGGUCUCUGGGCAACAACUGACGCUGAGGAGCGAAAGCGUGGGGAGCGAACAGG